ACUGCUCAGUAACACGUCGAUAAUCUGCCUUUGAGUCUGAGAUAACCUUGGGAAACUGAGGCUAAUAUUAGAUAGGGAAAAACAACUGGAAUGUGUUUUUCCCUAAAGCUUCGGCGCUCAAAGAUGAGUCGGCGGCCCAUCAGGUUGUUGGUGAGGUAACUGCUCACCAAGCCUACGACGGGUAAGGGCCUUGAGAGAGGUUGCCCUGAGAGGGACACUUAGAUACUGGUCCCAGCCCUACGGGGUGCAGCAGCUAGGAAAACUUUACAAUGCACGCAAGUGUGAUAAGGGGAUUCUGAGUGCUCAAGCACUGCUUGGGCUUUUGCCAAGAGUAAAGAUCUUGGCGAAUAAGCGGUGGGCAAGACUGGUGCCAGCCGCCGCGGUAACACCAGCGCCGCAAGUGGGAACCGUUAUUAUUGGGUCUAAAGCAUCCGUAGCCUGUCUAGUAAAUCUUCUGUGAAAUCGGCCAGCUUAACUGGUCGGCGUGCAGGAAACACUGCUAGACUAGAGACCAGGAGAGGUUAAAGGUAUUCUGUGGGGAGCGGUAAAAUGCUAUAAUCCACAGAGGACCACCGAUGGCGAAGGCAUUUGACCAGAAUGGAUCUGACGGUGAGGGAUGAAAGCCAGGGGAGCGAUCCGGAUUAGAUACCCGAGUAGUCCUGGCUGUAAACGCUGCGUGCUAGAUGUUGCACAAUCCCCGAGAUUGUGCAGUGUCGAAACGAAGGUGCUAAGCACGCCACCUGGGGAGUACGGUCGCAAGGCUGAAACUUAAAGGAAUUGGCGGGGGAGCAC
rnacentral:rRNA from 1 species